GAAAAUGCUACGUUAUUUGAAAGAGGAUUUCCAAAUCCAUCGAGCGCCUUUCCUCUUUUCCUCUUUUCCCUCUCUCAUCUUUCAUCGAGAAAUCCUCCAUCGAGCGUCAUCUUCCAUCCUGCAGUCUGAUUAGAGAUCACGAAACAUUGCAGAAAGUAGCAGUCUCCCUCUCUGCUACUGUGAUGCUGUGGUGCUGCUGUUGCUGAGAAAAGCAAUUCAAAAUGGAACAAAGGCAGCAGAGAUGCAUAAAAGAUGAAGGAAUCUGAUCAGGUAAUUAGAUUGUUUUGGGGGUAUCAUCAGUGUGCCUUUGUUAUUGACCCAGAAGAUAUUGACAAUGGCUUCAAUGGACUGGUUUUGCAUCUUUCAACGGACAAUAUCCUGGCUUAUUGUCUAUUCAAGCUUCUAAAUGAGAUAGUUUCUUAUUUGAUAUGUGGCACAAUGCUGAAUGAUUGAGAAAAAAUGGGAGUUAGGAAGAGGACUGCUGGGAUUUUUAAAAGUUCAGGUACAGUUAGGAUUAUCCAAAAGCUUUGGCACUUGUUUAUGGAUGCUUGGCCAUUGAACUCUUGAUUAUUGUAGUAUUCUUUUAAACACCAUAAUAGCUCUCUUAUUAGAAAACUGAUCACCUACAACUGGAAGUAUGGUAUGACGAUUCUUUCGUAUUUCAAAUUUUUUAUUUCUACUUUUUUCCCUUGAAAAUCUUUUAUAUUUUCAAGAGAAAAUGUUUAUAGGAAUGGAUUUUAAGCUAACCUACAGCCAGUUGUCGGUGCAGUCUUUUUAUUUUGCAAAAAAAAAAAAAAGAAAAAAAAAGUACUUAUUCACUUGUGCAUAUUCUUUGGUAGUUAUGGAACGAUGGCUUUGUACCUUAGCUUGUGGCUGCAUUUGCCAAGGAUUUCCAAUCCAUGCAUCAGGUAGGCCCCACCAUAUGGAUGACAUGAACCCUG